UACGGGGGGGGCAAGCGUUGUUCGGAAUUACUGGGCGUAAAGGGCUCGUAGGUGGCCAACUAAGUCAGACGUGAAAUCCCUCGGCUUAACCGGGGAACUGCGUCUGAUACUGGAUGGCUUGAGUUCGGGAGAGGGAUGCGGAAUUCCAGGUGUAGCGGUGAAAUGCGUAGAUAUCUGGAGGAACACCGGUGGCGAAGGCGGCACUCUGGGCUGGAACUGACGCUGAGGAGCGAAAGCGUGGGGAGCGAACAGG
rnacentral:rRNA from 1 species